GUCCCGUGAAUUACCUUUUAAUUAGUGACACAGGUCUUGACCACUGAUGGGAUGGAGGAACUGAGGAG
rnacentral:snoRNA from 1 species